rnacentral:rRNA from 1 species
AACGAACGCUGGCGGCAUGCCUAACACAUGCAAGUCGAACGAAGCCUUCGGGCUUAGUGGCGCACGGGUGCGUAACGCGUGGGAAUCUGCCCUUGGGUUCGGAAUAACAGUUAGAAAUGACUGCUAAUACCGGAUGAUGUCUUCGGACCAAAGAUUUAUCGCCCAAGGAUGAGCCCGCGUCGGAUUAGCUAGUUGGUGAGGUAAAGGCUCACCAAGGCGACGAUCCGUAGCUGGUCUGAGAGGAUGAUCAGCCACACUGGGACUGAGACACGGCCCAGACUCCUACGGGAGGCAGCAGUGGGGAAUAUUGGACAAUGGGCGAAAGCCUGAUCCAGCAAUGCCGCGUGAGUGAUGAAGGCCUUAGGGUUGUAAAGCUCUUUUACCCGGGAUGAUAAUGACAGUACCGGGAGAAUAAGCCCCGGCUAACUCCGUGCCAGCAGCCGCGGUAU